CAACCACAGAACUUAAGUAAGAUGAAGAUUCAAGGCUCAGAGGGAAGAAACUUCCCAGGCAUCAUACAGUUGGUCAGUGUUAGAGCCAGAAUUUAAAGUCCACUCUGUUAUACCGUUCUGAUAUUCUAAUCACUUUGAUGCUGAAACUGGCCCAGAAGUAACAAGUACAUAUUUGGCCCCAAAUCAUAUUAGUGGUUAGUGGCAGUGCUGGAUUGAGACAAGAACUUUUACUUUCAGCGUCUCUCUACCACCCUGGAACUGUAUUAUAUGGUAACUACUACCAGCACAACCACAAUAAAUAUUUACUGAGUACAGGACAAAGGACUUUAUAUGCAUUAUUUCAUUUAACACAAGUUCAAAAAUGGUGAUCUUCAUGGUGUGGUACUAAGGCCAGCAGUUCCUACCAGGAACUGGUAGAAAGCAUCAUCUUGAGUUCCAUGCCAGACAUACUGAACCAGAAACUCGGCAGUGGGGCCCAGCAAGCUAUGGUUUAAUAAACUCUCGGGUAAUUCCAAGGCUGAGGUUUGAGAACCGUUCUUCUAGAAACCCAAGGCUCAGUGGUGUUAAAGAAGAAGACAAUAAAAAAGUGGAAAAAUAUAUAACAAUAUCAAACCAUGGUGAGUCUGGGGUCCCGUUUUGACAUUCCUGCAUUUUGCACAUUGACAACAUGCCAUGGCUAAGCAGAGAUGGAUACUGAAUAGAAGACUAGACUACGUGCUUUAUAAGCACUAUCAUAUUUGAAACUACAUUUUUAAGGCGGAUAAUGUUUUCAGUCCAAAAUUACAGUGAAGAAACUGGGAAGGGCAUGAAGUACUUGCCACAAUCUUCCAGACUUCAUAACUGACUUAUAAAAGAAGUAGAACACACAUGCUUCCCAUUAGGUGAGAAAGAAACAUGCCUGAGAGUCUAAUGGAUUACUCAAGUCUGUGCUGCCAAGGAAGAACAGAAUCUUUAGGUCUUCUGUGCAAAGUUGUGUCCACCCCCAAAGUCUGAAGUGGCUCCAUUCACAAACUUACAUGGAAUUUGGACUUGGCCAUCUUUCCUUUCAAGAAUAUAUGGGCCCUCGUGGAUAUAUGACAUCUACCCACAUCUGUGAGGGUGGAUCUUCUGUACUCAGUCUUUUGAUUCGAAUGUUGAUUUCUUCCAGAACACCCUCAUGGAUUCACCCAGAAAUAAUGGUUUGCCAGCUCUCUAAGCAUCUCUUAACCCAGUCAAGUUGACACAUAAAAUCUGUAAAGUGGAACUCACCAUCUGUAAAAUGAAACUCAGUGUUCUUUUGUGAGGUCGUAGGAUGUGUUAAUACCUUCUCCAUUUCUCUUAUACCUCCAGCUCUACCAUUUACUUAUAUUGACUUUGGGUAAGUCAUUUUGCAUUUUAGAAUUUCUUGAUUUUAG
rnacentral:lncRNA from 10 species